AGAGUUUGAUCCUGGCUCAGGAUGAACGCUAGCUACAGGCUUAACACAUGCAAGUCGAGGGGCAGCAUGUUGGUUGCUUGCAACCAAUGAUGGCGACCGGCGCACGGGUGAGUAACGCGUAUCCAACCUACCCUUGUCCAUCGGAUAACCCGUCGAAAGGCGGCCUAACACGAUAUGCGGUUCACAGCAGGCAUCUAACGUGAACGAAAUGUAAAGGAGAAGGAUGGGGAUGCGUCUGAUUAGCUUGUUGGCGGGGUAACGGCCCACCAAGGCUACGAUCAGUAGGGGUUCUGAGAGGAAGGUCCCCCACAUUGGAACUGAGACACGGUCCAAACUCCUACGGGAGGCAGCAGUGAGGAAUAUUGGUCAAUGGACGAGAGUCUGAACCAGCCAAGUAGCGUGCAGGAUGACGGCCCUAUGGGUUGUAAACUGCUUUUAUAGGGGGAUAAAGUGUGCCACGUGUGGCAUAUUGCAGGUACCCUAUGAAUAAGGACCGGCUAAUUCCGUGCCAGCAGCCGCGGUAAUACGGAAGGUCCGGGCGUUAUCCGGAUUUAUUGGGUUUAAAGGGAGCGUAGGCCGUUUGGUAAGCGUGUUGUGAAAUGUCGGGGCUCAACCUGGGCAUUGCAGCGCGAACUGCCAGACUUGAGUGCGCAGGAAGUAGGCGGAAUUCGUCGUGUAGCGGUGAAAUGCUUAGAUAUGACGAAGAACUCCGAUUGCGAAGGCAGCCUGCUGUAGCGCAACUGACGCUGAAGCUCGAAAGCGUGGGUAUCGAACAGGAUUAGAUACCCUGGUAGUCCACGCGGUAAACGAUGGAUGCUCGCUGUUUGCGUCUGACGUAAGCGGCCAAGCGAAAGCGUUAAGCAUCCCACCUGGGGAGUACGCCGGCAACGGUGAAACUCAAAGGAAUUGACGGGGGCCCGCACAAGCGGAGGAACAUGUGGUUUAAUUCGAUGAUACGCGAGGAACCUUACCCGGGCUUGAACUGUAGGUGAACGAUUCAGAGAUGAUGAGGCCCUUCGGGGCGCCUAUGGAGGUGCUGCAUGGUUGUCGUCAGCUCGUGCCGUG
rnacentral:rRNA from 1 species